ACACUUUGAAUUUAAAAUCGAUAGAUAAAUUUAUUUUCAUUAUUAUUAUAUUUGCAUUAAGAUUUACAUAGUAAGUUUGUUUGAAUUAAUUUUUCUGUAAAUAAAAUUAUUAAAACAAGAAUAAUUUUUUUGCCUUAUGCGAUACGAGAAACAAUGUAUAUUGACAGCGUAUGAGGACAAGCGAAUCUUAUUACCCAUCAUACUUGAAUUUUUGGAUUUGGCUAUUCAGCUGGUAAACGAAAAUCAAAAAUUACAAAGGGAAUUAACAAUAUUAUAAUCAAUGGAAUAAUUAUUAUGAUGUAUGAUUGAAUCAAUUGGUGAAAGACUUAUGGAUUGGCUAACAAGAAUUCACAAAAAAUUAAAAGUUUUAAAAAUAUAAAAAAUAUACUUUUGGUUUACUUGAGGGUAUAUUAGUAAACUUUAACGCACUAAUAGUCACCUACCAUGCCUUAUAAAGAUACAUCGAACGAUGCUCCUUAUCAGAAGAAUAAAAAAAUUAUUUUUCAACAAUCAGUCAGUCAGUCAGUCAGUCAGUUAACGUCUGUUGUUCAAUAGACAAUCAUCAUAUCGGAUUCAAAUUGGUCAUUAUAUCAUCCAAAUCAAUUUUUUUAUUGGUUUUUAUGAUGGUUAUUUAAUUAAAUUGAAGAUAAUUAUUUAAGUAAAACAAGAAUAUUUCAAAGAAGAUACAAUAAUUUAUUUUAAUAAUUACACCAAAAAUAACAAUGCACUUUUGGAUGAGCCAAUGGAAAGUUUAUUUACAACUCAAGAUUAUAAUAAUUCAACAAAUUUAAGGUAGAACAAGAUCUUAACAAGAUCUUGGAUUUAUUAUGGACUCAUUAUUAUGAAAAAAUUAAAAAUUAUUCAGUUUGUAAUUUUUGUUGGAAUGAAGAUAAUAAAAAUAUACUUGCUGUUGGUUAUUAUUUGAAUGAUAAAAAAUUAAAAAAUUUAUCAAAUGGAUGUGUCUUAAUAUGGUGUAUGAAAAAUCCAAAUCAACCAGAUAGAAUAUAUGAAUUUAAACAGCCAAUAUCUGAUUUAAAUUGGUCAUUAUAUCAUCCAAAUCAAUUGGCUAUUGGUUUUUAUGAUGGUUCAAUAAAUAUCAUUGAUGUUUGUCAUCGUAAUUUAACAAUAUUACGUAAAAGUAUUAGAUUAAAUUCACCAAUAUAUUCACCACAAUGGCAAGUACAAUGGUGGCCAGACGAUGAUAAUUUAAAUAUCAAUGAAAAAAUAUAUACGACAAAUCAAGAUGGUGGUAUAUUUUGUUAUCGUACUGGUGAAGAUUUUACAUGUAUCAAAAUCAUGAAAAUAUGUAAAAUUGAAGGUACAAUUUGUGGUAUUAAAAAGACGAAAAUAUGCCAUAAUAAUGAUAUUAAAAUAAAAAAAAAAUCCAUCAGCUGUAUUAUUAAAAAAACAUCCAGUUAAAAAAAAUAUUUAUAUUGUUUGUUCUGAUGAGGGAUGUUUUUAUACAAAGAAUAUACAAACCAAUGUCAGUGAAAAUUGAAAAUAAUAUAAAAAAAUAUACUUUUGGUUUACCUGAGGGUAUAUUAGUAAACUUGAAUGCAUCAAUAGUCGUCUACCAUGCCUUAUAAGGAUACAUCGAACGAUGAUUUUUAUCAACAGAGUAAAAAAUAUUAUUGCGUCGUUGUUAAAAUAUUAAACCAAUAUUAAUCAAACCAACAGUAUAAAAUUAUCUUGACAAUAUACACUGAACAACAAUUGGACCAAUCAAUGAAAUAAAAGUAUUUAAAAUAAUAUACAACAAAAGUGACAAUGCAAAUGGUAUGCAUAUGAUAUUUUCAUUUAAAGAAUCAUGUUAUUAUUUGAAAAGAAUACAAAUUACAUUAACGCUAUAAUUGCAUGUUUUUAUGAUUUUAAUUAUUUAUUUAAUUGAAAAGAAUACAUUAAUUCGGAUAAUUUAAGUUUUAAUUUUUUGUAAUCAGAACUUUUAAUGCUCUUGUUAAUUGUAAGGCAAAUCAGAAUCACCAGAACAAAUCCAAAUACAGCACUGAUUCCAAUCAAAGUAAAUCUCUGAAUUAAAUAUCUGAAAUUAAUAUAUACUUAUAUUAUUAUUAAUAUAUUUACAAUCAAUUGCAUAUUUUAUUAAGAGAUUUUGCAUUCUGAGAUAUUUUCGUUAAUCAAGUCAGGACUCGCUUCUACAAAUGAAAAUAACUUUGAGAAAUAAAUUAAAGUCAUAUUGAAUAAUUAUUUAUUUACCAAAAUUCAUUAUGUACGGUGAAAAUACAGCCAUUGUUUUUUAAUUUUCAUAUUUUUAACUUCUCCAUCACAAUCACCAGUCACGUGUGUUUUAUUCUCAUCUGGUAGCUCAAGUGUUGUAGACUAAUAAUGAAGUUCUUGAAAAAAUAAAUAUAUAUAUUUAUUUAUUUUUUCAGAGUUCUUAUUAUCGGGCUUCAACAAUUGAGUUGCCAAAUGAGAAUGAAACACACGUGACUGGUGAUUGUGAUGGAGAAGUUAAAAAUAUGAAAUUUCAAGUUUCAGUAAAAAAUUUAUGUGAUUCUAAUUGGGCUUACAAUUUACAAGAGCAUUAAAAGUCCUGAUUA